UGCUCUUCCGAUCUGCUCCAGACAGGACGGAUGUUUCCAGGACCUGCUACCCGCAUUCCAGGAUGGAAAGGUAAGCUUGCACAUUUAUCUCAUACAGAUUUCUUCAAUGAGUUACAGGUCCUGGCAGCGGAAUUUACAAAAUAUCAGACAACAGAGGAACGUCCAGGCUCGGGAUCAGUUCGGGAAAUCGACUGGGUGCGCCUGAUGGUCAUCAAAAGAAAAUGGUCUGAACCUCGCUUCGCCAGACCAUACCGAGUCGUGGAGAGUACAUCUCAUGCUGUC